rnacentral:tRNA from 1 species
UUCUUCGUGGUGUAGUGGUCAGCACGCUCGACGCGUAACCGAGAGGUCCGUGGUUCGAUUCCCGGCUAGGGCA